GACGUAGGGCGCGAGCGUUGUCCGGAUUUAUUGGGCGUAAAGAGCUCGUAGGCGGCUUGUCGCGUCGUUCGUGAAAACCUGCAGCUCAACUGCAGGCUUGCGGUCGAUACGGGCAGGCUGGAGUUCGGUAGGGGAGACUGGAGUUCCUGGUGUAGCGGUGAAAUGCGCAGAUAUCAGGAGGAACACCGGUGGCGAAGGCGGGUCUCUGGGCCGAUACUGACGCUGAGGAGCGAAAGCGUGGGGAGCGAACAGG
rnacentral:rRNA from 1 species